GGAGGCCUGGAGGCCUCCCGCCCUGCGGCCCUGCAGCCCUGACGUCCUGAGAGGCCUGCAGCCCUGACGCCCUGGGAUGCUUGCCGCAUUGCCGCCCUUUGCCCUGAAGCCAGGCGGCCCUGUGAGGCCUGCAGCCCUGAUGCCCUGCGAUGCCUGCAGCCCUGACGCCCUGGGAGGCUUGAAGGUUUGCAGCCCUUUGCCCUGAAGCAGGGUGGCCCUAGAGGCCUGCAGCCCUGAUGCCCUGGGAGCUUGCAGCCCUGCAGCCCUGCCGCUCUUCAGCCCUUCUGCCCUGCUGCCCUGCAUCCCUGAUGCCCUGUUGCCAUGCAGCCCUGUGAGGCCUGCCACCCUUCCACCCUGCUGCCCUGCCUCCCUGCAGCCCUGCUGCUCUGGUAGGCCUUCAGCCCUGCCGCCCUGCUGCCUGGCUGUUCAGCGACCCUGAGAGGCGUGCAGCCCUGCUGCGAUGCUUCCCUACCGCCUUGCCACCCUGCUGCCCUGCAGCCCUUCCACCAUGCUUCUCUGCAGUCCUACUGCCCUGCUGCCCUGCAGCGCUGCCACCCUGCGAGGCCUACAGCCCGGUCACCAGUGUCACCUACGCGGCCUUUAAGGUUUCUGAGCAGACACUGGACCCUGACCUGACUGGCGCUGCCUCCUCCGGCCCCCUCUCACUUGCAGAGAGAAGAGAUUUGGAAAGAAUCUCCAGGAAUCUCCACAGUCCUCUAGAACGUGUCUGCCUUUGGUCGGGUGUGCCGUGUAUUGGGAGGAUGUGGAUUAAGAAUCCUGCAAUCCUGGUGUAACUCUGAUACUGUGCAAGGAUCUGUGAUACUAAAUUAAAUUAAGCUGCUUUUCCCUCACUUGUCAUUUGCCCUCAGCGCUUGUCAAACAUAAAGCACAAAUAAAACUUAUUGAUUGUCCAGUUUUGUGAUCUGUGAUGUGGAUGUUCAAGAGGAGGACAAAGAAGCAGCAGAAUGACAUGUUUGCUGUCUGGGUAUCUGUGUGUGAACUGAAUAAUGUGCACGGGGACCAAGCACUGCCCGACCGUGAAGGAAGUGACUGCUGAUCACGACACACAUCUGUUAUCUGUAUGCCCUGCUGCCCUGCGAGGCCAGUAGCCCUGCCGCCCUGCAGCCCUGCAGUUCUGCUGCCCUGGGAGGUCUGCAUCACUGCCGCUCUGUUGCCCUACAGCCCUGCUGCCCUCCUGCCCUGCUGCCCUGCCGACCUGCUGCCCCACAGUUGUGAUGCCCUGGGAGGCUUGAAGCCCUGCCACCCUGCCGCCCGGCCUCCAUGCCGCCCUGACGCCCUGCUGCCCUUCAGCCCUGACGCCCUGUGAUACCUACAGCCCUGCUGCACUGGGAGGCCUGGAGCCCUGCUGCCCUGGGAUACCAGCAGCCCUGCCGCCUUGUGAGGCCUGUAGCCCUGCCCCCCUAGGAAGCCUGCAGCCCUGCUGCCUUGCCAUACCUGCAGCCCACCGCCUGCGAGGACUAGCUUUACCACCCUGGGAAGCCUGCAGCCCUUCUUCGCUGCUGCCCUGCAACCCUGACCCCCUGUGAGGCCUGCAGCCCUGGAAGCCCUGCAGCCCUUCCUCCUUGCUGCCCUGAAGCCCUGCCCCCCUGCCAGGCCUGUAGCCCUGCUGCCCUGGGAGGUAUGCAGCCCUGCUGCCCUGCUGCCCUGCCACCCCGCCCCCCUACGAGGCCUGCAGCCUGGGCACCCUGGGAGGCCUGUAGCCCUGCUGCCGUCCCGCCCUGUAGCCCUGAUGCCCUGUGAGGACUGCAGUCCUGAUGCCCUGCCACCCUGCCAACCUGGGAGGCUUGCAGCAUUGCCACCCUGUUGCCCUGAACCCCGGUUGUCCUGUGAGGCCUGCAGCCAUGCUGCCCUGCUGCCCUGCUGCUUUGUUGUCCUGCAGUCCUGCAGCCCUGAGAUUCCUGUAGCCCUGCCAUCCUGGGAGACCUGCCCUACCACCCUGGGAGGACUGCAGCCCUCCUGCCCUGCUGCCUUGCAGCCCAGCUGCCCUGCCUCUGGGCCGCUCUGGGAGGCCUAUCACCCUGCAUCCCUGCUGCCCUGCAGCCAUGCUGCCCUUCUGCCCUGCUGCCCUGCGAGUCCUGCAGCCCUGCCACCCUGGGAGGCCUAAAGCCCUGCCUCCCUGCUGAGGCCUGCAGCCCUGCUACCCUCCUGCCCUGCAGCCCUGCAGCCCUGCCAUCCUGCGAGGCCACAGUAUUGCCACCCUGGGAGGCCUGAAGCCCUGCCUCCCUGCUGCCCUGCAGCACUGCCGCCCUGCAAUGACUGGAGCCCUGCCAUCCUGGGGGCUUGCAGCCCUGCUGCCAUGCUUCCCUGCAGCUGUGCUACCCUGUGAACCUGCAGCACUGCAGCCCUGGAAGGCCUGUGACCUGUCCUCCUGCUGCCCUGCAGCCCUGCCACCCAUCCACCGUGGGAGGCCAACAGCCCUGCUGACUGGCUGCCCUGCUACACUGCUACCCUGAUCCCCUGCAGCAAUGUCGCCCUGGGAGGCCACAGCCCUGCCGCCCUGUCAGAUCUGCCACCCUGCUGCCCUGCAACCAUGGAAGGCCUACUGACCUGCAGCCCUGCCACCCUGUCAGACCUGCCUCACUGCUGACCUGCACCUCUAUCACCCAGGCAGGCCUGCAGCCCUGCCGCCUGGCCAGCCUGCAGCACUGCCACCCUGCGAGGCCUGCAGUCUCGUCAAACUCAGAGGCCUGCAGCCCUGCCGCCCUGCUGCCCUACUGCCCUGCAAGGCUGCAGCCCUGCCGCACUGUGAGGCCUGCAGCCUGGCCACCAGUGUCACCCACCCGGCCUUUAAGGUUUCUGAGCAGACACUGGACCCCGACCUGCCUGGAUGCUGCCUCCUCUGGCCCCCUCUCACUGGCAGCCUUGUCUCAAGUUCUGCAAACGGAUUCUUCACCUCAGGUGUAUUAAGACUGUAGAAUAAUUACACAGGUGUAAAAGGUAAGGUAAAGGAGAUUUUUCAUAAUGUCCAGUUCAUAAAAAAUUGUUUGCUCUAUACCUAUAAGGCUCAUACUAUGCUUAUGCUUAUCAGGGGAAGCUUGAAGGAAAAAUUUCCCUGGGCUGUUCAUUCAUCAUGAAUUACACAAAAUCCUAUCAUGCUCCUGUGACUAAUAUGCAGUAGUAACAUUAUUUUAGAGUUACACUCUUACUGAGAAAUGUCCACUUAGAGAAAUAAACUUUUAAGUCAUGUCUACAUGAACAUAAGGAGUGUGAAAAAUUGUAUCGAAUCCAUGGCCUAUCUUAAUUAACAUUCUGUAAGUCGUAAUACCAGGUCACUGCCUUUGGCACAGCGACAAAAUGUAACCCAGAAAGGAGAAAUGACCAUUUUUGUUUGGGUUUGUUUGUUUGUUUGUUUUUUUCCCAACAAGAUGAUGUUAUGGUUAUACAGUCACAGCCUAACAGACCAAUUAAGUAGAAUAUUCAGUUAAGUUAUCCCGAAGGAGGAUGCUGAAUAUAUAGACGAGAGAGCAUUUUACGUGGAUUCAAACAAACUUAGUCCCAGGGCUUGGCAUUAAAAUACAAUACCAUACUCUGUGUGCAAAAGGCUCUGACACAGAAAAUUGUUUUCUUCCUUCCUCCCUUCUUCCCUUCCUGCAACUCCCUCCCUCUCUCCCUCUGUAUUUUUUCUAUUCAAUUCCUGUCUAAACCAACCCGGUCUAAGAAUACUUUCUUGAAAGUGUCAUUGCCAUUAUCUGACUGUCUCCUAAAGGAGGCAUGGACUACAGUCUAAAGAGUCAGUACUUCUUCAAAGCAGUUUCAAGGGUCCAGAAUAGAGCCAUCUUUUUUUUUUUUUUUGUCUUCUUAGAAUAGAGCCAUCUAACAGAACUUUCUAUAAUGAUAGAAAUGCUCUAAAUAUGCACGUCCCAUGAAUUGCACUACUGAGCAUCUGAAGUACAAUUUUGGGCUCAAAUUUUUAAUAUAAUUUCAUUUAUAUAUGACUAGUGGAUGCCAUUUUGGACAAUGCCAUUUUGGAAUUUUCUUUUAACCUUAAUACUUAAAAUUAUAUGAAUACAUAUAUAUUUACAUUAAAAUGUGUAUUAUACAUAAGUAUAUAUAAAUAAAAUCUUUAAAAACUCAUAUUUAAGUAUAUAUGAUAUGUCUUAUAUGCUUAACAUAUUUAACAUAUAUAAAUAUAUAAUAUUCAUUAUCAACUCUCAGGACUUCUAGAUAUGAUAUGAAAAGAACAGAGGUAUAAUUGUUUAGAAUAUAAAAGUGAAUCCAUACAGGAGAUAGCAGACAAAAAUUAUUAGGGAUAAAAUAAAUAGCAUAAAUUCUGUCUAGCCUUUGGAUUCUCUUUUGGUUUGGUAGCUUAAAAAUCUCCAAUUUCAGCCAAGUCCAGAUUACAUGAGCUGCAGGUGGCCUUCACAUUCUUGGUCUGUUGGGCAAAGUUGUGGGGAUAACCUCAGGAAGGUUGAAUGAUGCCAUGAAACACAGCAGAAUACAUGUAGAACUAAUUUCAAAUUCAGGAGGCCCCAACAAGGCCAGCCCUGGAUUAGGCAGGAAGGGUUUGGCCAAACUUAAACUUUGGUUUGGCCAAACUUAAACCCUUUGGAGCCUAACCUGGAAUUAAAAUGCUCAGAACAAUGCUAGGAAACUUGCAGAUAUGAAGACUGAGAAAAUACAGACUGAGUGAACAAAGACCCUACUGCUUGCUAUUUGGAAGUGUAUUUUUUUUUUUUUUUGUAAUGUAUGCUGCAAACAAAGGUGAGAACAAAUUUAGAGAGAUUCUCUAGUAACAGUGAAAACCUGCAGGUGAAUAUUUAAUCUCCACAGCAGGCUAAAGAUUUUAAUUAUAAAGCUCCCUAAAUCCUUAGACCACAUCUGCCAUGGAUUUGGAUAGAUUUCAGCUCAGCUCUGUUCUCCUGUCCCUCCCUGCUUUCCUUUAAUCAAACUACUGUGUUUCAAGAUAGAACAUAUCAUUUUAUUGGUGACUGUUUUCUAUUGUUUUGUAAUACUCUUCCAAACAUUUAAAGCUACAUUGAGAAAAUUUUUCUCUCAAUCCUUGCAAUUAAUACGAAUUUUUCUUCUAAAUCCACAUAACACUCCAAAUAGCAACUGGUUUAAUAAAUAGAAUUUGGCACCUAAGAGCACUGUGAAGACAUGGCCCAUCUAUCUCACCCAAAAGGAUUGGUUAGAUGUAUUGAGAAAUCGUAAAGCUACUGGAUGUUAACAUAGUCUCUAGAAUUUUUAAAAAAUCAAUACUGUAAAUUAUUUUGCUCAAUAUGUAGUCUUUAUAACUGAGACUUAAUCCGAAAGUUUUAGAAAAAGCAAAAAUAAAAAAACAUUUCUGACGACUUUUCAUGUCCUGCCAUGGCUUAAAUUUGUGGCAUAUUUAAUCCUCUCAACAAACUGUUAGGACGUAUUAUUAACCCAUUUCACAAAUGAAAAAAAAAAAAAAA